CAGCAGAGACAAAAUGGAAAUUAAGCGGAUGAUGAUAAUUGAACGGAGACACAUACAAUCAAGAAAAAUGGGAAGGGCUACAAUGUCUAGCUAUGGAUGGAGCUUCAAUCGAUUUCACUUUGAGGAAGAGGAAGGAGAUGUUCCUCUAUUGAUCAAACUAUUACAAAAUACUAAGGUUCAGGUUCUUAUCUUCCAUAUCACACAUCGAUCGGUUGCCGAUCAUUAGUUCAGCAACAUUAAUGGUUCAGGUUCUGAGCUUCCAAAUCACGCAUAGAUCGGUUCUCAUCUUCUAGUCUUACAAGAUUCAUCUUGCCCGUCAAUUUCUUUGGACAAAAUUGUGCAUCAAGGUACUCAAUACAGUAAAGUUUUUUUUCUGUAUUUUGUAACUGUGUUUUGUUAUUUAUAUGUUCUAUUAAUUUGAGGGCAACUGAUAGAAUUGAUUACUCUAUUGUAAGUUUGAUGUUAUUAUAUUCAACUAUUCGUUAUUGUUAAUGUUUUUGAUUGUAUCGGAUUAAUAUAUAUAUUUUUACUUG